UCCUCGUUUCCGAGGCAGUCCCGCUUAAGUGCCAUCUUGCGACGUUGCAAUAAGCGGCAAGGGUUGCGCUCGUUAAAGGACUUAACCCAACAUCUCACGACACGAGCUGACGACAGCCAUGCAGCACCUGUGAAUCAGUCGGUGUUUCCACCGAACCCAGUGUUUCCACUGGUAACAGAUACAUGUCAAGCCCAGGUAAGGUUCCUCGCGUAGUGUCGAAUUAAACCACAUGUUCCACCGCUUGUGCGGACCCCCGUCAAUUCCUUUGAGUUUUAAUCUUGCGACCGUACUCCCCAGGCGGAUCACUUAACGCGUUAGCUUCGACACAGAUCCCGCUAAUAGCAGAACCCACAUCCAGUGAUCAUCGUUUACAGCGUGGACUAC
rnacentral:misc_RNA from 1 species